rnacentral:rRNA from 1 species
UCUUGUGAAAUCUAAUGGCUUAACCAUUAAACUGCUUGGGAAACUGAUAGUCUAGAGUGAGGGAGAGGCAGAUGGAAUUGGUGGUGUAGGGGUAAAAUCCGUAGAUAUCACCAAGAAUACCCAUUGCGAAGGCGAUCUGCUGGAACUCAACUGACGCUAAGGCGCGAAAGCGUGGGGAGCAAACAGGAUUAGAUACCCUGGUAGUCCACGCCCUAAACGAUGUACACUAGUUGUUGGGGUGCUAGUCAUCUCAGUAAUGCAGCUAACGCAUUAAGUGUACCGCCUGGGGAGUACGGUCGCAAGAUUAAAACUCAAAGGAAUAGACGGGGACCCGCACAAGCGGUGGAGCAUGUGGUUUAAUUCGAAGAUACGCGAAGAACCUUACCUGGGCUUGAUAUCCUAAGAACCUUAUAGAGAUAUGAGGGUGCUAGCUUGCUAGAACUUAGAGACAGGUGCUGCACGGCUGUCGUCAGCUCGUGUCGUGAGAUGUUGGGUUAAGUCCCGCAACGAGCGCAACCCACGUAUUUAGUUGCUAACGGUUCGGCCGAGCACUCUAAAUAGACUGCCUUCGUAAGGAGGAGGAAGGUGUGGACGACGUCAAGUCAUCAUGGCCCUUAUGCCCAGGGCGACACACGUGCUACAAUGGCAUAUACAAUGAGACGCAAUACCGCGAGGUGGAGCAAAUCUAUAAAAUAUGUCCCAGUUCGGAUUGUUCUCUGCAACUCGAGAGCAUGAAGCCGGAAUCGCUAGUAAUCGUAGAUCAGCCAUGCUACGGUGAAUACGUUCCCGGGUCUUGUACUCACCGCCCGUCACACCAUGGGAGUUGAUUUCACUCGAAGCCGGAAUACUAAACUAGUUACCGUCCACAGUGGAAUCAGCGACUGGGGUGAAGUCGUAACAAGGUAACCGUAGGAGAACCUGCGGUUGGAUCACCUCCUUUCUA